UUAUCCGUAUAGUUCAUUUUCUGUGUUGCAUCACUAUCAAUUUUUCUGUCAAGGAAAGAAGGUGGUCCUGAAUUGAGCAGUAUAUGCGAUUCCGACCUACAAGACAACAGCCUAAUAAUAAACACUAUUGAACAAUUACAGAAUUCAGCGGAAGGCAGCUAACAAAAUAGCCUUGCAUCAAGUAGCAAGUUGAAAAAGAGCACAAAUAGAGUUGGUCAUGUUGUAUAAAAGUUCUUUUGGAUUAUGGUCAUUUAUUUUUAUUUCAAUAUGAAGUACUGUGUCUACUAUCAUCAUGGAAAGUGAAAAAUAAAACUAAAUUUAUGUUGGCCUGUGCUGGCACAGACCACCGCCGCCUAGUACUUACUUAGAAGAGACGGAGUUUAACGUUUUAGCUUGUUGGCAAUAAAUUCGAAUCUAAGGGUAUUAUAGAUAUUUUGCACUGCCCUAAGACACGUUUCAUAUAUCCUGCCGCUCAAUAGCCAUGUAUUACUUUCUCUAUAGCCUUCCAUAUUCCAUCGGCAUCAUUCUUGCUCCUUUUUACUAACUUUUCAUUCUCCUUUGAUUUUUUUGUGAUUUAUCUCUAAAAUUUAUUAUUAUCAAGUUUGAUCCAACAAAUCUUUUGAGAGGAGAAAUCGGGUUCUUGAAGCUCCAUUUUUUGCUCUAUUCAAGGUAACUCAAUAACUUAAAGUUAGUUUUAUAGUCUAUUUCAUCACUUUUGCUUCAACAUGUGUUGUGCUGAUCGGAUUUGAGAUUUUAACAUGAGUUUUUAAACUGGGUAUCUUAGGAUAAGGGUAAUAUUUUUUUAAAUUAAAUAAUUAAUUAUUUUUUACCUGCUCUUUAUAGGUUUCUUAUGUAUGUGGAUGUUACCUGACUGGUUCUGGAAAACUUGUCUAUUUACUUGUUUAAUCAUUUUAUAUGUGACAUGUAUUCUUAUGGGACCUAAAUGUAUCUUCAUAUUCAAAGCUAAUUUUGUUGUGUGAAUUUUUGCGAGAAUAAGAAUUGCUAACAGGAAAGAAGAUUCAGAGUAAAAAUAUGUUGGCAUAGACUUGACAAUCUAAUGAAAUAAAAAGGUGGAGAACUUGGGUGAUUAUGAAGAUGUGUUGAAUAUACUCCACUUCCUCUCAGAAACGGAGACAAAAGCUCAAAAAACAAUCUGUAUGAUAAGUUGCAGUUUCUUGCAAGCUCCAUACUCUUGAUAUAGAGCAUGUAUAGAUACUUUACAAUUUAUCUCCUUCUGCUGCUGCUGCUGUUAUUAGUAGUAUUAUUAGUAUUAUUACAUUCAAAUACAUUAUCUCAUUACUGUUAAAGCUAGUUAAUGAUUAAAGCUAGCUAAGUUGGUGUGAAUGAGAAAUGGAGGG
rnacentral:lncRNA from 1 species